UGCUCGAGUGGCGAACGGGUGAGUAACACGUGAGUAACCUGCCCUUGACUUUGGGAUAACUUCAGGAAACUGGGGCUAAUACCGGAUAGGAGCUCCUGCUGCAUGGUGGGGGUUGGAAAGUUUCGGCGGUUGGGGAUGGACUCGCGGCUUAUCAGCUUGUUGGUGGGGUAGUGGCUUACCAAGGCUUUGACGGGUAGCCGGCCUGAGAGGGUGACCGGCCACAUUGGGACUGAGAUACGGCCAAG
rnacentral:rRNA from 1 species